rnacentral:rRNA from 1 species
UGUAGUCAUAUGCUUGUCUCAAAGAUUAAGCCAUGCAUGUCUAAGUAUAAGCAAUUAUACCGCGAAACUGCGAAUGGCUCAUUAAAUCAGUUAUCGUUUAUUUGAUAGUACCUUACUACAUGGAUAACCGUGGUAAUUCUAGAGCUAAUACAUGCUGAAAAUCCCGACUUCGGAAGGGAUGUAUUUAUUAGAUUAAAAACCAAUGCCCUUCGGGGCUCUCUGGUGAUUCAUAAUAACUUCUCGAAUCGCACGGCCUUGUGCCGGCGAUGGUUCAUUCAAAUUUCUGCCCUAUCAACUUUCGACGGCUGGGUCUUGGCCAGCCGUGGUGACAACGGGUAACGGAGGGUUAGGGCUCGACCCCGGAGAAGGAGCCUGAGAAACGGCUACUACAUCCAAGGAAGGCAGCAGGCGCGCAAAUUACCCAAUCCCGACACGGGGAGGUAGUGACAAUAAAUACUGAUACAGGGCUCUUUCGGGUCUUGUAAUUGGAAUGAGUACAAUUUAAAUCCCUUAACGAGGAACAAUUGGAGGGCAAGUCUGGU